UUUCCGUAGGUGAACCUGCGGAAGGAUCAUUACCGAGUGAGGGCCCUCUGGGUCCAACCUCCCACCCGUGUUUAUUUACCUUGUUGCUUCGGCGAGCCUGCCUUUUGGCUGCCGGGGGACGUCAGUCCCCGGGUCCGUGCUCGCCGGAGACACCUUAGAACUCUGUCUGAAGAUUGUAGUCUGAGAUAAAAUAUAAAUUAUUUAAAACUUUCAACAACGGAUCUCUUGGUUCCG
rnacentral:misc_RNA from 1 species